rnacentral:rRNA from 1 species
AUUGAACGCUGGCGGCAGGCCUAACACAUGCAAGUCGAACGAGUGGCGGACGGGUGAGUAAUGUCUGGGAAUCUGCCUGAUGGAGGGGGAUAACUACUGGAAACGGUGGCUAAUACCGCAUACUAUCGGAUGUACCCAUAUGGGAUUAGCUUGUUGGUGGGGUAACGGCUCACCAAGGCGACGAUCGCUAGCUGGUCUGAGAGGAUGAUCAGACACACUGGGACUGAGACACUGCCCAGACUCCUACGGGAGGCAGCAGUGGGGAAUAUUGCACAAUGGGAGCAAGCCUGAUGCAGCCAUGCCGCGUGUAUGAAGAAGGCCUUAGGGUUGUAAAGUACUUUCAGCGGGGAGGCGUUACCCGCAGAAGAAGCACCGGCUAACUCCGUGCCAGCAGCCGCGGUAAUAC